CUCUCGGCUGCUGGAAAAGCUUCCUGCAGACUGCUAGUUCCAGCGCGCAGACGGAGCCAGCAGGACAAGGAACGGGGCUGUCCAUGCAGGGGUCUCUUGGGCUAUGAGGUUGGGACACUGGACCAUGGUACCAGGCACAGCCCACAUCAAGAGGAAAAGGACUGGUCUGCUCCAUGUCAGAGAAAACAGCAGCGUCAAAGCCAUGACCCUCGGGGAGUGGAGGACCCCUGAGUUGGUACCCUCUCUAGAGGUCUGACUAACAACUCCAUUGAGCCCUUCUCAGGCCAGGAGAAAGAAGAAGCUGGCCAGGCACGUGAGCUCGGUUCUUCCUCUUUACCUGUGCUCUACCGCAGCCGCUGCCACCCAUGAACAGCCUCCAGCUGCUUCAGCCUCUGAUGUACACCAGACUCUCUCCAGGAAGCCUCCAUCACGCAGCCUCAGCUGAGGGCUGCAUCACUGCCCUCCUCCCCCACUUCCGGGAGCAUGGGAAUGCUGGCAUGAGGAAGACAGCGGGUGUUACCGAGGCCUCCAGCUAGCGGGAGCAUACAGAUGGUCAUUGCGGGACGAUUUGGUCUGCACUCGUGUAAGCCAAGCCAAGCAACUUUUCUGUAAUCAUUUUCUGAUCACAUAUAUUUCCAAUAUAUAAUGUGUAUAUAUCGCAUUAUAAGCUUAUGUGAGUGCCUAUAUCCAAAAUUAUAGGAACUAACCUAUGUACCACCUUGUUGCUAUCUGACACCAAUGCCACCCUUACGUGCACCCCACACAGAAACAUGUCUUCACAUGCAUGAGUGGAAUAAAAACAACAGUUGCAAUGGAGGCGAAUGUAAAAGACAAGAAACACGCAGGGGUGGCUGAGGCUCUCCUCACGGAAACUGAGCUGCUCAGGAUUAGAGGGGAACCUCCAGAGAUAGAUGAUGGUGCUCAGAACUACAGGAUCAUGCAUGUGGCUGGGGUGACUGGAAACCCCUGCUGCUGGCACUCAAAGUGGGGGUCAGAGACUCCCAGACAAAGCAAGGAAUGGAGACAGGACUAUUCCAGUCAGGGAGAGAAAAUGUUCCCAGUCAGACUGGAGAGGGAAGCUGGGGUUCACUAUGACAAUCUGUUUCUCCUGGAGAGAGAGGAGUCACAAAAGCAUCAAUCUGGGUCCAGUCCCAGGGAGAUGCCUUUGAUCCUUCAAUGACUGAGCAAUCUAAUGGGCCACUGGUCAACCUAAACAGCACUAAAAUAAGGAUAAGGGGGGGGGGGGGGUGCUGCAGUUGGAGAACAAUUAGAUAAACCUUUCUAAAAGAGAAAUGAUGCCCCUCCAUGUCAUUCCAGAGAAAAAUCAAACGCCACAAUCUGUCUUGAAGUCUCUUAAGGAACCGCUGGCAGGAAAUUACCUUUCACCACGUCUUCUCCUUCCAGCUCCGAGCUGAUAAAAAUAGUUCUAGAUGCAAAGAAGCACUCCCAACGCCCGGAAGAGGCUAGCUUCCCACAAUCUGGCCUUGGCAUGUUCUGCCAGCUCGGAGGUAACCAUCCUUGGCCCCUGGUAAACUCCUAAUUAUCUAUCAACAACUGGGAAACAUCCCAAAGAUCAGUUUCUCUGAAACCCUUUCUCUCUUCUCCAUCCCCAAAGCAGAGAAGAGUACCUACUCCCCUGACAGCAGCCAGCCCAGCAUGUAGAUAUUGUUCCCCCCCAGAAGACUGUCUCCCACGCUAUAGGAGGCAAGCAUUGCUCCAUAAGAGACAAACAUCCCCCUCCACAGGGACACAAGUCUCUCGCCUUUGUUCAGUGUAGCCUACCUAUCACAGGGCUGGCUCGCAGUAACUUUUAAAAAUGUUAUUUGUCUGUCGUCGUUGUCAUUGCUGAAGGGCACACAUUUUGCAGCAUGUGUGUGAAGGUCAGAGGGCAACUGUGUGGGGCUGUUUCUCUCUUUCUAUUCUUAAGUGGGCUCCAGGGAUCGAACUCAGAUUGUCAAGCUUACGCAGCAAGCAAGCACCUCACCCCACUGAACUCUUCACUGGCCCCAGCAAAUAUUGGUUAACAUAAACUGUUGCCCAGGAAUAGAGGCUCACACCUGUAAUUCAAGCACUCAGAAGGUUUAACCAGGAGGACAAUGAGUUCAAGGUCAGCUUGAGAUAGAUACAGAGACAUGACCCCACCAAAUAAGCAGUGGAUCUGUCCCCAUACUGACAAGCUAAGAGAGCUUACUCCUAUAGCCCUGUCACAGGAAGCAAGCCACCUAAUACUCAAUGAACAGCAUUAGGAGGCUGUCGAGACUUGGAGUGUCGCUCAAGUGGUGCAGUGCUCACUUUGCACAGCAAUUGUGUUGCCCUAGCACCACCUAGAAGGAGAAGGAAGAAGAGGAUUGGGGGAAAGGGGAAGAAAGUGAUGCAGAUAGGGGAAGGAGAAAGAAGAAAAAGAAAGAGGGAAGAAGAAGAAAAAGGAAAAGGAGGAAAGAGGAGAAAGGGGAGAGAAAAAGGAGGAGGAAGGGAUGAAAAAGAAGUGGGAGAAGAGGAAAGAAAGGAGGGAGAGAAGAGAGGAGGAAGAAGAAGAGGAGAGGGAAGAAAAGGAGGAAAAGGGGAAAGGAGAGUGGGAAGAGUAGGAAGAAGAGAAACAAGAAGAGGAGAAAUGGAAAAAGGUGAAAUGGGGUGAGAAAUAGAAGGAGAAAAAUGUCAGCCUCUGUCCUUGGCCUCUGCUGAGCUACAUUUUCUGAAGUUGAGCCUGUAGACAUGGCCACAUGUGUCCAAAUUCAGAACCAAAGGCUCCUGGUCCCACUCUAUCUACUGUUGCUCAGGUCACCAAUGUAAAGGAAAAGUGGUGUAUUUACUGGUUAGUGCGCAUUUAAGUUAUUACAAAUGCAUACAUAACGGUUAUUAAUGAAAUGGAAAGUGUAAUAUGUUUAUGGUCUUAUACAGUAAAUAUUUAUAA